rnacentral:rRNA from 1 species
GACGAACGCUGGCGGCGUGCCUAAUACAUGCAAGUAGAACGCACAGUUUAUACCGUAGCUUGCUACACCAUAGACUGUGAGUUGCGAACGGGUGAGUAACGCGUAGGUAACCUGCCUGGUAGCGGGGGAUAACUAUUGGAAACGAUAGCUAAUACCGCAUAAUAUUGAUUAUUGCAUGAUAAUUAAUUGAAAGGUGCAAUUGCACCACUACCAGAUGGACCUGCGUUGUAUUAGCUAGUAGGUGAGGUAACGGCUCACCUAGGCGACGAUACAUAGCCGACCUGAGAGGGUGAUCGGCCACACUGGGACUGAGACACGGCCCAGACUCCUACGGGAGGCAGCAGUAGGGAAUCUUCGGCAAUGGACGAAAGUCUGACCGAGCAACGCCGCGUGAGUGAAGAAGGUUUUCGGAUCGUAAAGCUCUGUUGUAAGAGAAGAACGGGUGUGAGAGUGGAAAGUUCACACUGUGACGGUAGCUUACCAGAAAGAGACGGCUAACUACGUG